rnacentral:rRNA from 1 species
AACGAACGCUGGCGGCAGGCUUAACACAUGCAAGUCGAACGGGCACCUUCGGGUGUCAGUGGCAGACGGGUGAGUAACGCGUGGGAACGUACUCUUCGGUUCGGAAUAACCCAGGGAAACUUGGGCUAACACCGGAUACGUCCGCAAGGAGAAAGAUUUAUCGCCGAAGGAUCGGCCCGCGUCGGAUUAGCUAGUUGGUGGGGAAUGGCCCACCAACGGCGACGAUCCGUAGCUGGUCUGAGAGGAUGAUCAGCCACACU